rnacentral:rRNA from 1 species
UUGAUUAUGACGUACUUGUACUGAUUGAGAUUUUAACACGAAGUGAGUGGCGAACGGGUGAGUAACACGUGGGUAACCUGCCCAGAAGUAGGGGAUAACACCUGGAAACAGAUGCUAAUACCGUAUAACAGAGAAAACCGCAUGGUUUUCUUUUAAAAGAUGGCUCUGCUAUCACUUCUGGAUGGACCCGCGGCGUAUUAGCUAGUUGGUGAGGUAAAGGCUCACCAAGGCAGUGAUACGUAGCCGACCUGAGAGGGUAAUCGGCCACAUUGGGACUGAGACACGGCCCAGACUCCUACGGGAGGCAGCAGUAGGGAAUCUUCCACAAUGGACGCAAGUCUGAUGGAGCAACGCCGCGUGAGUGAAGAAGGGUUUCGGCUCGUAAAGCUCUGUUGUUAAAGAAGAACGUGGGUAAGAGUAACUGUUUACCCAGUGACGGUAUUUAACCAGAAAGCCACGGCUAACUACGUGCCAGCAGCCGCGGUAAUACGUAGGUGGCAAGCGUUAUCCGGAUUUAUUGGGCGUAAAG